CCUACGGGUGGCAGCAGUGGGGAAUAUUGGACAAUGGGGGGAACCCUGAUCCAGCCAUGCCGCGUGUGUGAAGAAGGCCCUCGGGUUGUAAAGCACUUUCAGUGAGGAAGAACGCCUGGUGGUUAAUACCCAUCAGGAAAGACAUCACUCACAGAAGAAGCACCGGCUAACUCCGUGCCAGCAGCCGCGGUAAUACGGAGGGUGAGAGCGUUAAUCGGAAUUACUGGGCGUAAAGCGCGCGUAGGUGGCUUGAUAAGCCGGUUGUGAAAGCCCCGGGCUCAACCUGGGAACGGCAUCCGGAACUGUCAAGCUAGAGUGCAGGAGAGGAAGGUAGAAUUCCCGGUGUAGCGGUGAAAUGCGUAGAGAUCGGGAGGAAUACCAGUGGCGAAGGCGGCCUUCUGGACUGACACUGACACUGAGGUGCGAAAGCGUGGGUAGCAAACAGGAUUAGAUACCCCUGUAGUC
rnacentral:rRNA from 1 species